ACAAUGUCUCUGUAUGUAGGCCAGAGGGAACAUAAGGUGUGUUUCAGCCUGAACAUGUCCCCUUCUUGUGUGUCUUGUGUGUCACAGGACAGUGACCUGGAGGCCAUGAUCAGGCACAUGGAAAAUGUUCUGGAUGGUGACUUGGUUGGAGCUGAAGCAGAGGAACAGAAGUCUCAGCUGGGUUCUCUGGGAGCGAGUAGCAUCAAUACCUCCAUGGCUGAGGGCAGAAUACAGCGCAUGAAAGACCUCUCGUCAGCUGUGCGGUGACUCUACAGUCUUGUACCUCCAGAUGCAGCUCUACUCAGCUCCCACUUCUUUCUUUCGGAGUGAAGAAGUUCUCCGGUGUAUGCAGGUGCAGGCUGAUUCUAAAUCUGAACAAGAAAUAUUCUCUCAGUUUGUUUCUCUUGGUUUAUUCAGUUGAGUUGCAUUUCAACUGAAGGAACUUUCAGCGAA
rnacentral:lncRNA from 1 species